rnacentral:rRNA from 1 species
GACGAACGCUUGCGGCGUGCUUAACACAUGCCAGUCGAACGAAGUGGCGAACGGGUGAGUAACGCGUAAUCAACCUGCCCUUCAGAGGGGGACAACAGUUGGAAACGACUGCUAAUACAGCAUACUGAAGGAGGGGAUUGCGUCGGAUUAGCUAGUUGGAGGGGUAACGGCCCACCAAGGCGAUGAUCAGUAGCCGGUCUGAGAGGGGUAACGGCCACAUUGGGACUGAGACACGGCCCCGACUCCUACGGGAGGGAGCCGUGGGGAAUUGUGCGAAAUGGACGAAAGUCUGACGGAGCAACGCCGCGUGAGUGAUGACGGCCUUCGGGUUGGAAAGCUCUGUUAAUCGGGACGCGGUACCGGAAUAGAAAGCCACGGCUAACUACGUACCAGCAGCCGCGGUAAUAC